rnacentral:rRNA from 1 species
AUUGAACGCUGGCGGCAGGCCUAACACAUGCAAGUCGAGCGAGCGGCGGACGGGUGAGUAAUGUAUGGGGACUGCCCGAUAGAGGGGGAUAACUACUGGAAACGGUGGCUAAUACCGCAUACUAUCGGAUAACCCAUAUGGGAUUAGCUAGUAGGUGGGGUAAAGGCUCACCUAGGCGACGAUCUCUAGCUGGUCUGAGAGGAUGAGCAGCGACACUGGGACUGAGACACGGGCCAGACUCCUACGGAGGGAGCAGUGGGGAAUAUUGCGCAAUGGGCGCAAGGCUGAUGCAGCCAUGCCGCGUGUAUGAAGAAGGCCUUAGGGUUGUAAAGUACUUUCACCGGGGACGCGGUACCCGGAGAAGAAGCCCCGGCUAACUUCGUGCCAGCAGCCGCGGUAAUUC